rnacentral:rRNA from 1 species
UACGUAGGGACCGAGCGUUGUCCGGAAUCAUUGGGCGUAAAGAGGCGUUGUGAGGACGGCCACUUAAGUCCUGCGUGAAAUCUUGCGGCUCAACCGGCAAAGCGGUCGGUGGGAAACCUGGGUGGCUAGAGUGGCGGGAGAGGAGAGUGGAAUUCCGUGGUGUAGCGGUGGAAUGCGGCAGAGUAUCAAGGAAGAACACCCGUGGCGAAGGCGGCUCCUCUGGAACGCAACUGACGCUGAGACGCGAAAGCGUGGGGAGCAAACAGG